rnacentral:rRNA from 1 species
UACGUAGGGUGCAAGCGUUGUCCGGAAUUAUUGGGCGUAAAGAGCUCGUAGGCGGUUUGUCGCGUCUGCUGUGAAAAACUCGGGGCUAACCCCGGGCCUGCAGUGGGUACGGGCAGACUAGAGUGCGGUAGGGGAGACUGGAAUUCCUGGUGUAGCGGUGAAAUGCGCAGAUAUCAGGAGGAACACCGGUGGCGAAGGCGGGUCACUGGACCGGUUCUGACGCUGAGGCGCGAAAAGCGUGGGGAGCAAAGCGGGG